UAUGAGUGUAGCACUGCCUGGCACCAGAUAACGUUUCAUAAAAAUUGCACGCUAAUUCGUUAACCCCUAUUAGAAUUUUACCAUUUCAAUUGGGCAAAUAGGGAUUUUUGCCUACAAGUAUUGGUAUUGCAUGGUGAUAUAGAGAUAUUGACUGCAUCGUUUGUUCACUUUGGGGAGGUAUGGUAUAAAUAGCGAUUCGGGCUGAGUGUUGUUACAUUAUUGUAAGAAAUAACCGUCACUAAGUAACAUGAAGUAUACAGGUGAAAAAAGCUGUCUGGCAUUAAUAUUUUUUGCCAUUAUUGCCUUAACUCUGUGCAUUGCUAAUGCUCAAUUAGUUGGUACUUGUGGGCCCCAAGGUAAUCCGUGUUCUCGAGACCAGGAUUGUGAAACAAGAGAAUGCAAUUUUGGAUAAUUUCCAGGAAGCAAAUAAUAGCUCAAUCGAAAAGUUUACACCAGCUGGAAGGAAAAUAUAUUGGAUUUAAUUUAAAAAAACUAUUUGUUAUGAUACUUGAAAAUAUUUUUACCAUGGAAUAGAAAAAUUAAAAAAUCUACAACUAAUUCGGCUAA